rnacentral:snoRNA from 1 species
GUGGCAUACUGGGAAUUAUGGGUUACAAAGCAAAGCGAGGUUUCAAGCAGGAGCCUAAAGAAAUGUCUUUCUAUGGUCUGUUGGCUAUUUCAGAACUUUAGAAGUAUAAUAGUCAAUUCAAUAGAAAGAAACAUCU